GUCCAUUUGUGUUCCAAGUCCAGGGAACUUGCCAUGAGGAAGGAACCCUUUCACAUGUGGUAAAGAAGAGAACAUGGGGAACCUGGAAGCUAUCUUCCACUGUCAUUCCUGGUUUGUCAUGUCUGAGCUGUCACCUGAGAGCUGAUCUUCCUCUGCUAAAAUCCAUUCAAGAAGCAUCUUUGCCCUUCAAGAUGUCUG
rnacentral:lncRNA from 1 species